rnacentral:rRNA from 1 species
UACGUAGGUGACAAGCGUUAUCCGGAAUUACUGGGCGUAAAGCGCACGCAGGCGGCGCGUUAAGUCUGAUGUGAAAUCUCCUGGCUUAACUGGGAGGGGUCAUUGGAAACUGGCGGGCUUGAGGCGAUGAGAGGGGUGUAGAAUUCCCGGUGUAGUGGUGGAAUGCGUAGAUAUCGGGAGGAAUACCAGUGGCGAAAGCGGCACCCUGGCAUUAGCCUGACGCUCAGGUGCGAAGGCGUGGGGAGCGAACGGG